rnacentral:misc_RNA from 1 species
GAUGAAGAACGUAGUGAAAUGCGAUAAGUAAUGUGAAUUGCAGAAUUCAGUGAAUCAUCGAAUCUUUGAACGCACAUUGCGCCCGCUAGUAUUCUGGCGGGCAUGCCUGUUCGAGCGUCAUUUCAACCAUCAAGCCCUGUUUAGGCUUGUGUUGGGGCCCUGCGGUUGCCGCAGCCCCCUAAAUGCAGUGGCGGGCUCGUCGUCACUCCGAGCGCAGUAGCGUAUCUCGCUCUGGGCGUGGCGGCGGGUGCUAGCCGUGAAACACCCACUAAGGUUGACCUCGGAUCAGGUAGGAAUACCCGCUGAACUUAAGCAUAUCAAUAAGCGGAGGA